rnacentral:rRNA from 1 species
UACGUAGGUGACAAGCGUUGUCCGGAUUUACUGGGCGUAAAGAGCGCGCAGGCGGUCGAUCAAGUCGAGUGUGAAAGCCCCCGGCUCAACUGGGGAGGGUCAUUCGAUACUGAUCGACUCGAAGGCAGGAGAGGGAAGUGGAAUUCCCGGUGUAGUGGUGAAAUGCGUAGAUAUCAAGUGGAACACCAGUGGCGAAGGCGAAUCCCUGGAAAAUACCUGACACUGAGGCACGAAAGCUAGGGGAGCAAACAGG